rnacentral:misc_RNA from 1 species
GUUAAAAACUAGUUGUGCACAAACAUGAUUAUUAUUUUGAAAUGAUUUGAAUAUGUUAUUGUUUUGCAAACGUGAUUAUUGAUUUAGAAACUCUUGAAAGUUGUUUUGAAACCACAGUUAGCAUGACAGUCCCUUCGGGGACAUCCAAUAAAAUUAGAAUGAUUCAGAGAAGAUUAGCAUGGCCCCUAAGCAAGGAUGACACGCACAAAUCGA